rnacentral:rRNA from 1 species
UACGUAGGGUGCGAGCGUUAAUCGGAAUUACUGGGCGUAAAGCGUGCGCAGGCGGUUCGUUAAGUCAGAUGUGAAAGCCCCGGGCUCAACCUGGGAACUGCAUUUGAAACUGGCGGGCUUGAGUGUGGCAGAGGGGGGUGGAAUUCCGCGUGUAGCAGUGAAAUGCGUAGAGAUGCGGAGGAACACCGAUGGCGAAGGCGACCAUCUGGACCGGAACUGACGCUGAGGCGCGAAAGCCAGGGGAGCGAAUGGG